AACGGGGAAUUAAAGUUGUCACAGUACAUAUUUUCUGUCAGAAGAAAACUUAGCCCCCAUAUUUAUGAGGAAGAUAUUAUUCAUUGCCUCAUGACUUUAUACCCAUGUCAUUUAAUGUUAAAUUAAAAAUUUCAACAUAUGCUAUAAAACAGGAAGGCAUGACUAGAAUCUUGGAUUUAAAGAGACAACAAUCCCACAGACGGCAUAGAUAUGAUGGUUUUUAGAUAAAGACUUAAUCAUGUCUCUGAUUAACAGAAGAAGACAGAGAAAAUAAUGGACAAAAGUACACAAGACGAAGAACUUCAGAGCAUUGAAAUAAUCAAGCAGAUAUUCUAGAAUGGAGCUAGAUUACUUAGCAUUAAAGAUCUGGAACAUCUUGCACAUGUGGUUGUGUUCAUCAGAAUAUAGAAGUUUUGAUCUAUAAGAUGGGUCAAAAAAAUAUAGAAGCAGAAUGAAAAAAAAAAAAAGCAUUACCCACCACAGGUACACGGUAUACCACACAACCUCUAAGGCCACGGUUCUCUGGAAAGAGAGCCCCUACUGCUCUUGGUGAGUCACAUCUGUCCAGACCACUUGAUACGUCGGCAAACAGGCACAGACCCUGUUAGUUCCUGCACAGGUACAAAACAUUUGUCUUUUCAAGGCAAUCUGGAAGAUGGGGAGCUUAUUAUUUUAACUUUAAAUUUAACAGGGUAGUAUGCUUUCCUUAAACACUGAAGCUCUUCACUUAAACUUGACAACUGUUGAAGAGAGAAUGGAGAACAGGAUCCUGGAGGAGAGAACUGCCUGGAUCAAGUUCUCCUCCUGAAGGAAACAGUGCAGACUUCUAGAGCACUGAUGGGUCAUGGUUUAGUUCCCUGUCUGUUCUUGUUCUGGUUUUCACUUCAGAGCUGCUUGACUCAGGGGCAGGUCUCUGCUCAUUGCGCUUUCUCCUGUCUUCUCUUCUCCUUUUUCCUUUCCGUUCUUUGAUUGGCUGACACUCACUUUCCCGCCCUCCUGCUGUAUUAAAAGUCCCUGAGCUUUUCCAAUGGUAGGAAGUUAGGCAGAAAUCAGAUUUUAAAAAAUCCCAGUAUCUUGGUAAUUUGAAACAUGGGGACUUAUUUUUCAGCUACCACACAUCUUGUUAUAGAUUUAAAUUGAAAUUGAAAUUGCAUGGAAUUCCUAUACAUUGGCUGGAGGCCCACCCUGAUGCUUUUGGGAAGGAAGAAUACACUAUGGCUGCAGCCUCGUGGGGUCUUAAGGAAAGGUUAGAAGUAUGGCAGAUUUACUUAUGAAGGUGGAAUGGCUAGCUUUAACAUUUAACCUGAAAUGAUCUAGAAUUCCUAGGGAAGAGAGUCUGAGUGAAGAACUCUCUAGAGCAGGUUUGUCUAUGCAUGUGCCUCUGUGGGUUGGCUAGAUAAGACGUAGCCCAUCAUGGGUGGCACCGUUCUCUGUGUUUGGGUCCUGGGCAUAGAAGAUCAUAGAGAGCUCAUAGGUAAGCCAGAGAUGUUAGGAAGGUUGAGAACCACUGUUACAGGGAGCCUCUCCAUACAUCCUUAGCUUUUUUUGUUUGUUAUUUGGGACAGGGUUUCAUUAUGCAGCCCUUGCUGAAGUAGAACUCUAUAUAGAUUAGAUCAACCUUGAACCCAAAAGAGGUCUGUAACUUCUACCCCCCAAGUUCUGGGAUUAAAGCCAUAGUUCACACUUCUGGCAGGAUGAUUCUGACAUUACAAGGAACCACUGCCUGUGGCGACCAGAUAGAUAAUUGGUCAAAGCACUCAGGAAAUUAUACGUAGACAGUUUGGGGACUCUUGGAUAACUCUAGUUGCCUUCAGUCCCUUUAUGAUCAGUGAUGAGCAACCCGGCGUCAAGGCUUCCAGACCGAGGCAUUAACUGCCUUUGCAUCUGUUGUAGAGCACAGCACAUUUGCAACCUAGCCUCUCUGUGACAACUAAGCUGGAUUUGGAGACUUUUCCUUCUAACCCACCUCCAGCUCAUGUUGGGUAAGGGCAAGGUAAACACCUUUUUAUAUUCUAUCUUUUCAUUAUGAUAAACCAAUAACACAGGCACAUGCACACACAUGUGCACAUAUGCGCAUGCAUGCACACAUACAAAUUCAUCUUUUGUAUAAUUUAUGCUUCUCAGUGACUGGGCAGCUUUCUGUAGCCCUUAGGGUCUCGGAGAUCCCAGGCUUGUAUAAUAACGAUGAUCUUCAGGCUUGUACUAUUGGACCAAGAGAAGGAAAUGUGACUCUGACCCAGAUGUUCAUUUUGGUGUUUACAUUUCAUUCCCUUGGGACUUGGAUCUUAGCUUUGUCCAGCUUGUAAGAGCCUGCUUAUUCUUCUAUGGGUCUCUCUUCUCCUUUGUAAACCCCCAGAAACUUGUCUAUUUGAAUCAGAGAGUUGGCUAGUUUCUUCUGAUGCCUCCGAAUUAUGGUGACCCUCCUUCCUCAGCCUUUGUCUAGGUGCCUUGCUGUUGUCGGCUCAUUUGUUGUUCUUGUUUGCAGUUUUGCUCUGGGAUGAGGCUAGAUUAAAUUGUAUAUAAAAUCAUAUUACAUUCCCUGGGUAAUACAUAGUGGAAUGACAGCCUUGAAAGCUUAAACAAUCAAAGCUGAGGAAGGGAAAUGAGAGCAAGCCAUCGGUUAGUUGAUAGUAUUGUUCUUACUAUGGUGGUGCAAUCCCUUUCUGUUCCUUCAGCCCUUCCCCUAACUCUUCCAUUGAGGUCCCUGGGCUCAGCCCAAUGGUGCUGUGAGUAUCUGCAUCUGUAUUAGUUAGGUGCUGGCAGAGCCUCUAAGGGUACAGCCAUACUAGGCUCCUGCCACGAAGCUCUUCUUGACAUCAACAAUAGUGUCUGAGUUUGGUGUCUGCAGAUGGGAUGAAUCCCUAGGUAGAGUGGUCUCUGGGUGGCCUUUCCUUCAGUCUCUGCUCCAUUUUUUGUCCCUUCAUUCCCUUUAGACAGAAACAAUUCUGGGUUAAAAAUUUUGAGCUAGGUGGCUGGACUGAACCACCUAGAGAUCCCAGGGAGAAAAACACCAGCCAAAUUGCACGCAUGGAGGGACCCAUGGCUCCAGCUGCAUAUGUAGCAGAGGAGGGCCUUGUCUGGCAUUAAUGGGAAGGGAAACCCUUGGUCCUGUGGAGGUCUCUGCUUGUCUUGAUCAUUCUCCUGGCAGGGGGAUGCUAGAAAUGGUGAGGCAAGAGUAGGUGAGUGGGUGGAGGAGCACCUCAUAGAGGCAAAACGGAGAGGAGAUGGGAUGGGGAGUUGUGGAGGGGAAACUAAGAAGGGGGAUAUCAUUUGAAAUGUAAAGGAAUAAAAUGAUU
rnacentral:lncRNA from 1 species